UGAACUGNCAAGCUAGAGUGUGUCAGAGGGGGGUAGAAUUNCACGUGUAGCAGUGAAAUGCGUAGAGGUGUGGAGGAAUACCGAUGGCGAAGGCAGCCCCCUGGGAUAACACUGACGUUCAUGCUNGAAAGCGUGGGUAGCAAACAGGAUUAGAUACCCUGGUAGUCCACGCCCUAAACGAUGUCAAUUAGCUGUUGGGCAACUUGAUUGCUUAGUAGCGUAGCUAACGCGUGAAAUUGACCGCCUGGGGAGUACGGUCGCAAGAUUAAAACUCAAAGGAAUUGACGGGGACCCGCACAAGCGGUGGAUGAUGUGGAUUAAUUCGAUGCAACGCGAAGAACCUUACCUGGUCUUGACAUGUACGGAAUCUCUCAGAGACGGGAGAGUGCCUUCGGGAGCCGUAACACAGGUGCUGCAUGGCUGUCGUCAGCUCGUGUCGUGAGAUGUUGGGUUAAGUCCCGCAACGAGCGCAACCCUUGUCAUUAGUUGCCAUCAUUAAGUUGGGCACUCUAAUGAGACUGCCGGUGACAAACCGGAGGAAGGUGGGGAUGACGUCAAGUCCUCAUGGCCCUUAUGACCAGGGCUUCACACGUCAUACAAUGGUCGGUACAGCGGGUUGCCAAGCCGCGAGGUGGAGCCGAUCUCACAAAACCGAUCGUAGUCCGGAUUGCACUCUGCAACUCGAGUGCAUGAAGUCGGAAUCGCUAGUAAUCGCAGGUCAGCAUACUGCGGUGAAUACGUUCCCGGGUCUUGUACACACCGCCCGUCACACCAUGGGAGUGGGGGAUACCAGA
rnacentral:rRNA from 1 species